rnacentral:rRNA from 1 species
AGAGUUUGAUCCUGGCUCAGGACGAACGCUGGCGGCGUGCCUAAGGUAUGCAAGUCGAACGCGGCACCCUCGCAAGAGGGUGUUAGCGUGGCGAACGGGUGAGUAACGCGUGGGAAUCUACCUCCAAGUCGGGAAUAACUCCGAGAAAUCGGAGACAAUAACCGAUGGUCCCGCAAGGGUAAAGAUUUAUUGCUUGGAGAUGAGCCCGCGUCCCAUCAGCUAGUUGGUAGGGUAAUGGCCUACCAAGGCGAUGACGGGUAGGGGGCGUGAGAGCGUGUUCCCCCACAAGGGCACUGAGACAAGGGCCCUACACCUACGGGUGGCAGCAAUCGGGAAUCUUGCACAAUGGACGAAAGUCUGAUGCAGCGACGCCGCGUGAAUGAUGAAGGUCGAAAGAUUGUAAAGUUCUUAAUUUGCCGCAAGGCAGAGGAUUAAGCACCGGCUAACUACGUGCCAGCAGCAGCGGUAAUACGUAGGGUGCGAGCGUUGUCCGGAUUUACUGGGCGUAAAGAGUGCGUAGGUAUUUUGGAAAGUCCCGGCUUAAAGCCCGCGGCUCAACCGUGGAAUUCGUCGGGAUACUGUCAAAAUUGAGGAAGAUAGGGGGUGGCGGAACAUCACAAGGAGGGGUGAAAUCCAAUGAUCUGUGAUGGAACACCGAAGGCGAAGGCAGCCACCUGGGUCUUUCCUGACACUGAGGCACGAAAGCUAGGGGAGUGAAACGGAUUAGAUUGUCCGGCCACCACUCGUAAAAUAAAGUGGCGAAGGGUGUCCCCCUCAACCGCGAGGCUGAGGUGCGCAUCUAGCUAUAUCGGUGAACAUCUUUAGGAUAGUCUUCUAAAGACAACCCCGAGGGAAGUCGCUUGGUCAAUUUUGACCAUGACGACCCCGUAGAGACUAUGGAGAUCGGAAGACAGAAGGGGGUAAAAUUCUACUAUGGUAGAAGAAAACUUUCCUCCUUUGUCGGUUCGAAGUAGAGCAAUUAUUUUAGGUUCUCUCUUAGGAGAUGGGUCGCUUGCAGUUAACC